AACAGCAAAUCGAGGAGUUUAACCAUUAGUUGGACAGCAGGGAGCAUAGUGCUUGAAGUAUUAGAAGAAAUCAUAGAAAGGCAUAUUCCGUGUCCGUGUACUUCUGCAAAAUCAAAUCUUGUCUAUAUUUUUCUAUUCUUCUUGAUACCGGCAAUAGCAUUCCUCUUAUUCGAUAAUGCAUAAUAGGAGAGUGAACAUGCUCCAAACUCAGCUGCGAACGGAAUCCCGCUACUUUUUUAACCGAAUAUGGUGUUUUCUGUAAUACUUCGCGGCAAGCACAUCUGAGAACUGAUGGAGACGAGAGAACAACCAUUCUUCAGAGUACAUCAGUCAUGACUGCUUCAAAUAAAGACUGAUCCAUCAUUGAGAUGCACUGUACUGUGAGAGAAAAUAUGACUAAAGGACCUCAAUGGAAAGGUAUAGGAACUCAAAGUAAACCUCAGAAAUAAAAUGCUAUGCUAUCAUUGUCAGGAUUUCACACAGGUGCACAGUUCUGAAAAGACUACUUACAAUAUCAAAACUGUAUGAAUUUUGAGUAUUCUGAAAUGGAAAAUCAAUUCAGAAACAAAAACAAAAGUCUGAAUGAGGAAAUUAUCAAUACAACUUCAAAAAAACUUAAGACUCAUUCUGAAUAUGAUCAGAGAAUCAUUACGAUGAUUACAAUUUCUUUAAAGACUAGACCAAACACAAAUAACAAAUGACUCUGCUUGAGCAUAAUAAGUCAUUUGAAUGAUAUUCUUAAAGUGGCUAAGGAAUAUUUUGACCAAUGACUGAAUGAGUUGUUGGCUUAAAAAAAUGAACUAGUUUGAAUUUGUUGUCUCAAAAAGAAUUUUAAAGAAUGAGUCUGUAAAAUGAAACUUUAAAAUGAAGGUAUGCAAGGAGCUGACGAAGGAGACUGUUCAUGGAAGUGUCUGAGAUAUUCUUUUGGGGUUUAAACAAUGAAGAAGCUGCAAAGAUGGAAGCAAAGUUCAGAAUGUGAAAUCUUAGCAACUUUUCAGAAACAGAACUGGACAAUCUACAUGUGGCUGGUAAUGAUGUCUCCUCUCUUGAAGGAGAUUUGAAUUAUAAAAUUCUCUGAAUUGUCUGAAAACCUCGCAAAAGUUUGAUUUUACAUCUUAAAGCAGACAGUAAUUCCUGGAUGAGAAUUUAACAGUUUGUGAAGAUCAAGUUGGACUUGGAAAUUUAAUUGGGCAAUGGGGGAAUUAUUAUGUGGGUUGCAUGUAGUAAGAUAAUGGUUAAAGUCUAUAACAUAGAUGAUGGAGCACGGGGACUGUAGUAGGGUGGACUGGUGGGAGAUGAUAUGGCGGGUGAAUGGACAUCUGUAGUAAUUUCGAAGUAUAACUUUUAUUGUUGAUGUUAUCAUUUUUAUGUUGAAGAUUCAAGAUUAAAUGUGAGAUGAAUGGAAAACCUGAUUAAAAACCUAGUAAACAGUAUAUUAUUGCAAGUCAUAAAA